AACGAACGCUGGCGGCAUGCCUAACACAUGCAAGUCGAACGAAGCCUUCGGGCUUAGUGGCGCACGGGUGCGUAACGCGUGGGAAUCUGCCCUUGGGUUCGGAAUAACAGUUAGAAAUGACUGCUAAUACCGGAUGAUGUCUUCGGACCAAAGAUUUAUCGCCCAAGGAUGAGCCCGCGUAGGAUUAGGUAGUUGGUGGGGUAAUGGCCCACCAAGCCGACGAUCCUUAGCUGGUCUGAGAGGAUGAUCAGCCACACUGGGACUGAGACACGGCCCAGACUCCUACGGGAGGCAGCAGUGGGAAUAUUGGACAAUGGGCGAAAGCCUGAUCCAGCAAUGCCCGCGUGAGUGAUGAAGGCCUUAGGGUGUAAAGCUCUUUUACCAGGGAUGAUAAUGACAGUGCCUGGAGAAUAAGCUCCGGCUAACUCCGUGCCAGCAGCCGCGGUAAUCUGAGCUGCC
rnacentral:rRNA from 1 species